rnacentral:lncRNA from 1 species
GGACCAGGAUUCUAAAUGAGACCUGAGGGAAUGGAGCUGUUGUUGACAAGAGCUGUUAGACAAACAGGACAUGGAGGAGGAGUGGUCAUGCAUACCUCAAUGGGACAAAGUAUCUCCUCUGAGACUUCAGAAAAUCCUUUUCUUCUGGAGCCACUCUGUUCUGGAUUACCCUGAGAUUUUAAUGAGAUAAAGUCUAGAGAUGUAUAUAACUUUUCUGCAUCAUUUUGGAAUUUUAAUGAGAUGAAACGAGACCCAGAGACACCUGUUCUAGACCACUUUGGGAUCUUAAUGAGGUAAGGCUAACGGAGGAUGGACUAAAUUCAUUUUUUCCCAAGCUGUUCAGAGACCAAAUACACAGACAAGAAAUGCAAACAUAUGGAUGAAGUCUUCCAAAUUGCUACUUCCUCUAACUCCUUUUCUAAUCUUCAUGUUGUUUCUUUUUUAUUUAGAGUGUGUGUGUUGGUAGGUGUCAUCAGUGGAGGGCUGGUGGUUGGAAGUUAGAGGAGUAGCUGUUUAUGAAUUCUAGACCUGGACAGUCUUUGUCAUUAAGUUGAUAUGUGACCCCAUGGAUGCAAACAGGUUGAAGACAAGAGCUCUCUUUAAUGGAACCUGAACAGUGCCUAACUCCUGUAGAUAUUCACUGAAUGUUAAAUAACAACAGUGAUCAUGUAAUAAUGAUGCCCAAUUCACUUGGGAGAGAAUACCAAAUAGCUUGGAAUUUUCCUGUUACUGCCAGCAUGGCCUGAGAGCAUCCUGAGAGAGGUCAAAAGUCCGUCUGACUCACCUGUGCUGAGUGACUUGAAUGCCAUCUAAUCUAACUUCAAGGUGAGGACAGUCUGUUCUGAAGGUCUACACAUUAAUGCUUCCUAUUGGGAAUUCAAAUCGGCAAUUUGUUCUUCUUCUGGUUGUUUGAAUCUUCAAAAUAGAGGGAAGACACCUGGAUGAAACAUUUUCACAGACUCUGCAAUUCCCUUAAGAGGAUCCCAGAGCCCUUAAGCUUCUCUUAGAUUCCUCUGAUUUUUUUCAGCCCAAGGACUGUUACCACAUGUCUUCCAUCUUGCCCACAAUUUUAGCAGG